CUUGUCAACCACCUCGUUAGCUUGCCAGCCAACAUACCCGAAAGAUUCAAGCUGUUUAUACGCUUUCGGUGUAUUUUAGCUACUGUGUUUUAGACACACGUCUGUCGUAUCUACUUGUUAACCAAUUUAAUAUUACGUUAUUUUGUAUUAGUCAGCUAUAGUAGCUGGCUGGUUAAGUUAGCACUAGCCUAGUCGCUAAUGAUAGCUAACUAGCUAACAUCCCCGAACAUGAGCUCCCUAAACUACUCCCCUCCUGUUAAAGAAGAGGUCUGCUGGACGGAGAAAGAAGCUCUGGGGCUGAACUUUGUCGUGAAAGAGGAGAAGGAAGAGGAGGAUGUUACUGUAAAAAAAGAAGUAGAGGUUGAGGCUGUUACCAUGAAAGAAGAAGAGAAAGACGUUUCAGUGAAAGAAGAGGAAGACUCGUUCAGAGUGAAAGAGGAGGAUGUUACAGUAAAAUAAGAGGAGGAAGGGAAAGAGGAUGCAUUUUUUUGAGUGAAGAAGGUGCGAUUACUGUCCCAUUGAAAGAUGAAGAGGAGGAGAUAGGAUAUCUGAUUAACACCAGUCUCAUUUACAACUGCGAACUUGUUCUCAACUGGCCUACCUGUAAUGCUCGUCUGUGAUGGAAGAAGAGGAGGACCAAUGCACAGCGUGGACAGAGACGGGAAUAACUUGGGUCAUCUGGGGUGCUUCAACAACCUCAUGAUGCUGACAAGGCAGAGAAGAGUCACUCCACAUUAGAACACCUCAAGAAACAUCUGCAGAGAUCCACAGGGAAGAGAACUCACUGCUCCUCUGACUGUGGGAAGAGAUUCACCUCCUCAGCAGUCAUUAAAAUUCAUCAGAGAACACACACAGGAGAAAACCCUUAUUGCUGUACUCAAUGUGGGAAGAGUUUUACUCAGAAAUGUACCCUGCUGU